UACAGUCAUUGUAAUGAAUCAGUAGGAAAAUCUAGUGUAGAAGAGCUUUUGCCAAAAAGGUCACAACCAUAUGAAAAAACAGAGAUAACUUUCAGAAAUCUAAACCAAACUAGUUCAGAGGUGAGAACAUGUAAAUCACAUACAAGUGGUCCGAAAACCCCCCAAAUUCUUGGGUUUUCAUCAUUAAUCCCGUGAAGGGAUGAAAACGAACAAAUCAGGCAAGAGCAAACUUAGAAAACCAAGAGGAACUUAAUCGUUCUGUGAAAACAUGGUGAGGGAAAAUACAGUAAAAGAAAAUACAAGGAAACAUUAGGAGGAAACAUAGUAAAAGAAAACAUACAGGAGUCAAAGUAGAAACAAAAAGGAGUCACAGUAGGACAAAUACAGUAAGAACACCACAUAAAAUCACAAUAGAACAAGAAAAAUCAAAGAAACCCUAAAUCAGAGAAGAUGAACAGUUUUGAAAGAAAACUUUCGAACGAGAUUUAAGAAAUCAUUCAAAAACCUUAAAACAAACAUGGAUCCAGAGAGGAUCCACAGAAAUAUAGGAAAACCUCGAAGGGAUAGGGUUUCAGAAGAACCCCAGAAGUAAGAGAGGCCUGGAAAAAGGGUCUGCUCCAAGUUGAAUGAGCCAGAGAUGGACUCAUAGGUCUAGGAUAUGCCGGAGUUGAGAUGAAGAUGGUCAUAACACUCGGAUAGAUGGAGCUCUGAGUGAAUACCUUCAAGAUCGAACCUUGAAUCUUCAAGUAACAUGGGUAUGUGGGUACGUGGGGGUGAGUAUAGGCUACCCAGGGCUUGGGAUGCCAUUGAUUCCCGUAGAACAAGGUGGAAACCAAUCUGAGUAGGGCUAGGGUAUUGGUGAGAGGUUAGAGAGAGUUUGAG
rnacentral:lncRNA from 1 species